rnacentral:rRNA from 1 species
GACGAACGCUGGCGGCGUGCUUAACACAUGCAAGUCGAACGGAAAGGCCCUGCUUUUGUGGGGUGCUCGAUUGGCGAACGGGUGAGUAACACGUGAGUAACCUGCCCUUGACUUUGGUAUAACUUCAGGAAACUGGGGCUACUACCGUAUAGGAGCUCCUGCUGCAUGGUGGGGGUUGGAAAUUUUCGGCGGUUGGGGAUGGACUCGCGGCUUAUCAGCUUGUUGGUGGGGUAGUGGCUUACCAAGGCUUUGACGGGUAGCCGGCCUGAGAGGGUGACCGGCCACAAUGGGACUGAGAGACGGACCAGACUCCUACGGGAGGCAGCAGUGGGGAAUAUUGCACAAUGGGAGGAAGCCUGAUGCAGCAACGCCGCGUGCGGGAUGACGGCCUUCGGGGUGUAAACAGCUUUAGCCUGUGACGAAGCGUGAGUGACGGUAAUGGGUAAAGAAGCACCGGCUAACUACGUG